rnacentral:rRNA from 1 species
UACGUAGGGUGCAAGCGUUAUCCGGAAUUAUUGGGCGUAAAGAGCUCGUAGGCGGUUUGUCGCGUCUGCUGUGAAAACCGGGGGCUCAACCUCCGGCCUGCAGUGGGUACGGGCAGACUAGAGUGCGGUAGGGGAGAUUGGAAUUCCUGGUGUAGCGGUGGAAUGCGCAGAUAUCAGGAGGAACACCGAUGGCGAAGGCAGAUCUCUGGGCCGUAACUGACGCUGAGGAGCGAAAGCAUGGGGAGCGAACAGG